CGGACUUUGCGGGCGGGCGGGCACUGGUGAGAAGAGGAAGUGGGAGAGGCCUGGGAAGGAAACUUGGAAACCGAAAACUCGGCGGCCGAGGCUCCGUGCCCCGCGCGCAGCGCUGCUCCUGCCCCGGCCAAGGACGCACGGGCCAGCCGGCGGAACCAGAGGUUUUCAGUGAUGUUGAGAGUCAACAGGAAAUUAAUCAGCAAGUAGAAAAUUGAAAGAAGAUCUGCAUCUUACUGCAGGAGUCAUUAAAAUAAAAGCAGAUUUGGCAAAAUGGCAAGAACCAGAGGAUGAGGAUGUAAAACAAAAACUUUUGGAGUCAUUUUGCCACCAGGAUGAAAAUAGGAUGAAGCUGACAUGACAAAGGUGCAGACAUGGCAGAGGAGACACAGCAAUAACUAAGGGGCAACUAUUGCAUCCAGAAAAAAAAAAAAUGAAGAUAAUGACUUCUCUGCAACUAAGAUGAAGAUCCACUGAACUUUGGGGUUUGAAAUGCAACGUUAGAACUUCAGACUCCCGGCACCUAGGUCUCCAGCUGCUGGGUGGUGCCAGCAUCAGAGAUACACUCUGCAAAACAUAUACUGUCUUAGGAAAAAGUGACCCUGUUGUCCUUUCAGGCCCAUAUUCCACAAGAAGACAAAUGGAGAUGUAAAAGGAAAACUGCAGCUCCGACUGAAGAGAGAGCAAGUUGUCUGUUCUGAUACAGCCAGGAAAUAAGAUGUUCUGGUUAAUAUGUGCUAAAGAUGUGGUGCUGACUUUCCGACUCAGAAUAUGAUCACAUGUUUUUCUCAUUAAAA
rnacentral:lncRNA from 1 species